rnacentral:rRNA from 1 species
GGGUGCGAUCAUACCAGCGUUAAUGCACCGGAUCCCAUCAAAACUCCGCAGUUAAGCGCGCUUGGGCUAGAGUAGUACUGGGAUGGGUGACCUCUCGGGAAGUCCUAGUGUUGCACCCU